rnacentral:rRNA from 1 species
GACGAACGCUGGCGGCGUGCCUAAUACAUGCAAGUCGAGCGGACUUUCAAGAAGCUUGCUUUUUGAAAGUUAGCGGCGGACGGGUGAGUAACACGUGGGCAACCUGCCUGCAAGACGGGGAUAACUCCGGGAAACCGGGGCUAAUACCGGAUAAUAUCUUCCUUCGCAUGAAGGAAGGUUGAAAGGCGGCGCAAGCUGCCGCUUGCAGAUGGGCCCGCGGCGCAUUAGCUAGUUGGUGAGGUAACGGCUCACCAAGGCGACGAUGCGUAGCCGACCUGAGAGGGUGAUCGGCCACACUGGGACUGAGACACGGCCCAGACUCCUACGGGAGGCAGCAGUAGGGAAUCUUCCGCAAUGGACGAAAGUCUGACGGAGCAACGCCGCGUGAGCGAAGAAGGUCUUCGGAUCGUAAAGCUCUGUUGUCAGGGAAGAACAAGUACCGUUCGAACAGGGCGGUACCUUGACGGUACCUGACCAGAAAGCCACGGCGAACUACGU